UCGGUAGAAUAUCCUAUAUGACUGGCAUGGUAGGCACACAGAGCAUUAAGAUUGUGUUUUGCAUGAUACAUGAAUGUAGCAGGAAAAAUCUCCUCUGGCGCGAUUGCCCCUUGUUGAAUAAGGUAAGGGAGUAGUUGAGCAUAUGACACAUGGAUCGGGUCACGAAGAGGACGCUUUCUAUUAUACCGUUUACACUGACCUUGACUAUGGUUUAUAUUAUCUUGUUGAUUCUGAGAAACUGGAGCCUGGAGAGGCUGCUGAUACUACGACUAAUAUGCAGGUUGCUGAUAUUGAGCAGAGGCAAUGUAUGCAUAAGGGUAGUAUGGCACAUGAGCCAUAUGUGCUUGGACUUGAGGGUAGACAUUUGCCAUCACAACACUUGCCUCAACCUCUUUCUUCUUGACAAAACCAUGAGAUUUCUUGACCACUGUUUGGCUAUCAACACUAGCAAUCUUUCCAAUUUUCAGCCCAUUCUCAAUACGUUCUCCAAUGGUUACUAUGUCAGCGAAGCUGGACGACGAGCUACCAACAAUCUUCUCAUAGUACAACCCUUGGAGUGUGCUCAUAAAGAUAUCGACUAAUUCAGCAUCUGUCAAAUUCAAGAUGUCCAAUCCGUACUUCAUGAGUCACGCUUUGGAAUUGGGCUUGAAUUCAAAUUCAAGAUGUCCAACAACCAUCUGAGAGCGUGCCUUAUAUCACCAUGUUUCAACAAUGGCUCACGACCGCAGAUUUUACCGCAUCGACCCGAGGAUUCGCUUUUGUGGAUCUUGAUCGACAUCGUCCAUGGAAUCAUGUUCAAAAUCCAUAACUCGUUGCUCACGAUUCGAAUCACGAAUGCGAUAACGCCUACCUUCCUUGUGUCGCAUCGCGUUUUUGACAAGCAUCUGUGCGCUUUAGUGUCGCCUUUUUCAGAACUCAAUGGUACCGCCUCAAUUCGGUUCAAGCGUUCGAUCCCAAACAAAUGUUAAAGGUGCGAAAUUGAAACUGAAUAUGGACUGAAGAAAAAUCAAGACUCACCGUUGCAGCGAUGACGACAUAACAAUGAAGAGCGAAUUGUGAAUGAAGAAUGAAACAAAAUGAAGAAUAAUGAAGAUGGAAAAAAACUCCUCUGCAUCUGUGACGGAUUUUCAUUCGUUUUUCUAUUGGUUUUGCAGAGAGAGUGAAAUGGAGAAACAGAUUCAAAGUGAAGAAAAAAGAUUGAAGAAGUGAAAAGCAAAGGUGAAAUGAAGAUUGAACAUCCCUGCAGAAGAUUGGUAUGCGAAAUAUUUAUAUCUUUGGUCAUCAAAUUCUGUUAGAAAUUUACCUUAAAUGCAUCUCAAAUUCACCUCAAAUUGCUCUGAAAUGAAAAAGCAGUUAGAGGUUUUUGAUAUGUUAGAAACUGUUAGUUAGUUUUAUGUUAGUUAUUAAAUGAAAAUUGAAAUUAAAGUUGAAAGGAAAUUAAUUUGAUUUGCAUUUGCUUUUAAA